UAAGUCAUGAGAGUCAUGCUGCUCUCUCAAACCUACAUAGCUACAAGUAGUGGGUAUGUGCCUUGCACACGCCACUUAACCUCUCCCAGCCUUGGAGGUCUCUUCCGCCUAAAGUAGGUUAGUAACGGAAAUCUUUUCUUGGCACUAAAAGAAAGACACAAUGGCUGGGCACGGUGGCUCAUGCCUGUAAUCCCAGCACUUUGGGAGGCCAAGGCAGGUGGAUCACGAAGUCAGGAGUUCAAGACCAGCGAGACUCUGUCUCAAAGAAAAAAAAAAAAGGAAAAUACUAUUUAUUACCAAGACUAUGAGGACAACACCUUGUGGCCAGGAAAGGUGCAAUCCAUCAUUGUUUUCUAGUUGGUUGUUAAGAUUUCUGUGAUGAAUACAACUCAACAUCAGAUCUCUGCCAUAUUGUGUGUCAGGCACACAGGGCAAGAAAUUGAAGCUGCCAGCCAACAGCCAGAGAGAAACCAAGGCCUGCCAACAACUAGCUACCUUAGCAAGAAAAUCCAAGAAAAUCAAUUUGCAUCUAAAAGCGCCUUCACGGAGUUGGCCUGGUUUUGUGGCAGGCAUCCCAGCUUGCUUAGAGAAGGAGAAGUUGAAGUCGGCCUCACAGAGGAUUGUUUGGUCCCAGCUGAAUAACCUGCUGGCAUCCACUGUGAGCAGAGUGAUCUCUUCUUGAAAAAGACAGAGCUGCAGUCAUCUUCGGUCUCAGGUUCUAUAAAAACCCAGCACAGCCUUGGCAGGCCUCCUGGAAUGACUUCUUGUUUCCUGAGGACCCAUUGAUUUAACAAACUAACAAACGUAAAUAACAGAAGCUAUGAAAGAAACAUUUGCAGCAUCAGACCUUCUUCUCUAGAACUUUCUUCUGCCCCAUGUGGUGGUCACUGCCCAGCUCAAGAGAUAGUCCUGGAGAGGACACAGAGGCAACAAGGUCCAGAGACUUGCCUCAGGGUCACCUCAGGGGCCCUUCCAAUCAUGCUUCCCCCAGUCCCCGAAGCAUCUUCCAGCAGCCAACAUGUUGGUGAAUGGGGUCCUAAACCCUGCACUGCCCAGGAACUGUGCUGUGGAGUCUGGCCACGUUCCCUUAUUGGGGCAGGCAUGAGGCAGUGACUAAAGUGUCCUAAAGCUCCCAGUGAAGGCUCUGAGAUGGCUGGACCGCCCACUGCAUCCUUGGCCCUACAGAAAGAGGGCUCCAUGGAGCAUGCACAGAAGCAGCAAGGGGCAGUGUGACACUGGGAGAGGUACUAAGGAGGGGGCGGCCUUCUGAUCCACGCAAGGAUUCUUAAGGACCUCCUGGCUCAAAACAAUC
ensembl:lncRNA novel transcript, antisense to STARD13